GGCGGACUAGCGUAAUGGUUAACGCGCCAGUUUCCGGUUCAUCCGUGACCUUAGCUGGAGAUUCUGGGUUCGAUCCCCAGGCCCGUCG
rfam:Gloeophyllum trabeum ATCC 11539 unplaced genomic scaffold GLOTRscaffold_00009, whole genome shotgun sequence.